UACGGAGGGGGCUAGCGUUGUUCGGAAUUACUGGGCGUAAAGCGCACGUAGGCGGCUUUGUAAGUUAGAGGUGAAAGUCCAGGGCUUAACCCUGGAAUUGCCUUUAAGACUGCAUCGCUAGAAUCGUGGAGAGGUGAGUGGAAUUCCGAGUGUAGAGGUGAAAUUCGUAGAUAUUCGGAAGAACACCAGUGGCGAAAGGCGC
rnacentral:rRNA from 1 species